GACGAACGCUGGCGGCGUGCUUAACACAUGCAAGUCGAACGGAAAGGCCCUGCUUUUGUGGGGUGCUCGAGUGGCGAACGGGUGAGUAACACGGGAGUAACCUGCCCUUGACUUUGGGAUAACUUCAGGAAACUGGGGCUAAUACCGGAUAGGAGCUCCUGCUGCAUGGUGGGGGGUGGAAAGUUUCGGCGGUUGGGGAUGGACUCGCGGCUUAUCAGCUUGUUGGUGGGGUAGUGGCUUACCAAGGCUUUGACGGGUAGCCGGCCUGAGAGGGUGACCGGCCACAUUGGGACUGAGAUACGGCCCAGACUCCUACGGGAGGCAGCAGUGGGGAAUAUUGCACAAUGGGCGGAAGCCUGAUGCAGCAACGCCGCGUGCGGGAUGACGGCCUUCGGGUUGUAAACCGCUUUCGCCUGUGACGAAGCGUGAGUGACGGUAAUGGGUAAAGAAGCACCGGCUAACUACGUG
rnacentral:rRNA from 1 species